rnacentral:rRNA from 1 species
GACGAACGCUGGCGGCGUGCUUAACACAUGCAAGUCGAACGGAAAGGCCCUGCUUUUGUGGGGUGCUCGAGUGGCGAACGGGUGAGUAACACGUGAGUAACCUGCCCUUGACUUUGGGAUAACUUCAGGAAACUGGGGCUAAUACCGGAUAGGAGCUCCUGCUGCAUGGUGGGGGUUGGAAAGUUUCGGCGGUUGGGGAUGGACUCGCGGCUUAUCAGCUUGUUGGUGGGGUAGUGGCUUACCAAGGCUUUGACGGGUAGCCGGCCUGAGAGGGUGGCCGGCCACAUUGGGCCUGCGCUACGGCCCAGACUCCUACGGGAGGCAGCAGUGGGGAAUAUUGCACAAUGGGAGGAAGCCUGAUGCAGCAACGCCGCGUGCGGGAUGACGGCCUUCGGGCUGUAAACCGCUUUCGCCUGUGACGAAGCGUGAGUGACGGUAAUGGGUAAAGAAGCACCGGCUAACUACGUG